GACGAACGCUGGCGGCACGCUUAACACAUGCAAGUCGAACGAGAGAAGAGAAGCUUGCUUUUCUGAUCUAGUGGCGGACGGGUGAGUAACACGUGAGCAAUCUGCCUUUCAGAGGGGGAUACCGAUUGGAAACGAUCGUUAAUACCGCAUAACAUAAUUGAACCGCAUGAUUUGAUUAUCAAAGAUUUAUCGCUGAAAGAUGAGCUCGCGUCUGAUUAGCUAGUUGGUAAGGUAACGGCUUACCAAGGCGACGAUCAGUAGCCGGACUGAGAGGUUGAUCGGACACAUUGGGACAGAGACACGGCCCAGACUCCUACGGGAGGCAGCAGUGGGGAAUAUUGCACAAUGGAGGAAACUCUGAUGCAGCGAUGCCGCGUGAGGGAAGAAGGUUUUAGGAUUGUAAACCUCUGUCUUCAGGGACGAAAAAAGACGGUACCUGAGGAGGAAGCUCCGGCUAACUACGUG
rnacentral:rRNA from 1 species